UACAGGGGGGGCAAGCGUUGUUCGGAAUUACUGGGCGUAAAGGGCCAGUAGGCGGCCAACUAAGUCCGACGUGAAAUCCCCAGGCUUAACCUGGGAACUGCGUCGGAUACUGGAUGGCUUGAAUUCGGGAGAGGGAUGCAGAAUUCCAGGUGUAGCGGUGAAAUGCGUAGAUAUCUGGAGGAAUACCGGUGGCGAAGGCGGCAUCCUGGACCGAGAUUGACGCUGAAUGGCGAAAGCUAGGGGAGCGAACAGG
rnacentral:rRNA from 1 species